rnacentral:rRNA from 1 species
GCCCGUACCGCAAACCGACACAGGUAGUCAAGAUGAGAAUUCUAAGGUGAGCGAGCGAACUCUCGUUAAGGAACUCGGCAAAAUGACCCCGUAACUUCGGGAGAAGGGGUGCUCUUUAGGGUUAACGCCCAGAAGAGCCGCAGUGAAUAGGCCCAAGCGACUGUUUAUCAAAAACACAGGUCUCUGCUAAACCGUAAGGUGAUGUAUAGGGGCUGACGCCUGCCCGGUGCUGGAAGGUUAAGAGGAGUGGUUAGCUUCUGCGAAGCUACGAAUCGAAGCCCCAGUAAACGGCGGCCGUAACUAUAACGGUCCUAAGGUAGCGAAAUUCCUUGUCGGGUAAGUUCCGACCCGCACGAAAGGCGUAACGAUUUGGGCACUGUCUCAACGAGAGACUCGGUGAAAUCAUAGUACCUGUGAAGAUGCAGGUUACCCGCGACAGGACGGAAAGACCCCGUGGAGCUUUACUGUAGCCUGAUAUUGAAAUUCGGCACAGCUUGUACAGGAUAGGUAGGAGCCUUUGAAACGUGAGCGCUAGCUUACGUGGAGGCGCUGGUGGGAUACUACCCUAGCUGUGUUGGCUUUCUAACCCGCACCACUUAUCGUGGUGGGAGACAGUGUCAGGCGGGCAGUUUGACUGGGGCGGUCGCCUCCUAAAAGGUAACGGAGGCGCUCAAAGGUUCCCUCAGAAUGGUUGGAAAUCAUUCAUAGAGUGUAAAGGCAUAAGGGAGCUUGACUGCGAGACCUACAAGUCGAGCAGGGUCGAAAGACGGACUUAGUGAUCCGGUGGUUCCGCAUGGAAGGGCCAUCGCUCAACGGAUAAAAGCUACCCCGGGGAUAACAGGCUUAUCUCCCCCAAGAGUUCACAUCGACGGGGAGGUUUGGCACCUCGAUGUCGGCUCAUCGCAUCCUGGGGCUGUAGUCGGUCCCAAGGGUUGGGCUGUUCGCCCAUUAAAGCGGUACGCGAGCUGGGUUCAGAACGUCGUGAGACAGUUCGGUCCCUAUCCGUCGUGGGCGUAGGAAAUUUGAGAGGAGCUGUCCUUAGUACGAGAGGACCGGGAUGGACAUACCUCUGGUGUACCAGUUGUCGUGCCAACGGCAUAGCUGGGUAGCUAUGUGUGGACGGGAUAAGUGCUGAAAGCAUCUAAGCAUGAAGCCCCCCUCAAGAUGAGAUUUCCCAACUUCGGUUAUAAGAUCCCUCAAAGAUGAUGAGGUUAAUAGGUUCGAGGUGGAAGCAUGGUGACAUGUGGAGCUGACGAAUACUAAUCGAUCGAAGACUUAAUCAA